rnacentral:rRNA from 1 species
GACGAACGCUGGCGGCGUGCUUAACACAUGCAAGUCGAACGGUAAGGCCCUUCGGGGUACACGAGUGGCGAACGGGUGAGUAACACGUGGGUGAUCUGCCCUGCACUUCGGGAUAAGCCUGGGAAACUGGGUCUAAUACCGGAUAGGACCACUGCCUGCAUGGGUGGUGGUGGAAAGCUUUUGCGGUGUGGGAUGGGCCCGCGGCCUAUCAGCUUGUUGGUGGGGUGAUGGCCUACCAAGGCGACGACGGGUAGCAGGCCUGAGAGGGUGACCGGCCACACUGGGACUGAGAUACGGCCCAGACUCCUACGGGAGGCAGCAGGGGGGAAUAUUGCACAAUGGGCGCAAGCCUGAUGCGGCGACGCCGCGUGAGGGAUGACGGCCUUCGGGUUGUAAACCUCUUUCAGCUAUGACGAAGCGCAAGUGACGGUAGUAGCAGAAGAAGGACCGGCUGACUACGUGCCAGCCGCCGCGGUAA